AUUUAUAUAGCCUAGUGGACAUGGCAUCUGCCCGGUAAGCGGAACACUGUGGGUUCGAUUCCCAUCCCUGGACA